UACGUAGGGGGCAAGCGUUGUCCGGAAUUAUUGGGCGUAAAGAGCGCGUAGGCGGUCCGAUAAGUCGGCUGUGAAAGUCAGGGGCUCAACCCUUGGAAGCCGGCCGAUACUGUCGGACUAGAGUCCGGAAGAGGCGAGUGGAAUUCCUGGUGUAGCGGUGAAAUGCGCAGAUAUCAGGAGGAACACCAAUGGCGAAGGCAGCACUCUGGGACGUGACUGACGCUGAGACGCGAAAGCGUGGGGAGCAAACAGG
rnacentral:rRNA from 1 species